GACGAACGCUGGCGGCGUGCCUAAUACAUGCAAGUAGAACGCUGAAGGAGGAGCUUGCUUCUCUGGAUGAGUUGCGAACGGGUGAGUAACGCGUAGGUAACCUGCCUGGUAGCGGGGGAUAACUAUUGGAAACGAUAGCUAAUACCGCAUAAUAGUAGAUGUUGCAUGACAUUUACUUAAAAGGUGCAAUUGCAUCACUACCAGAUGGACCUGCGUUGUAUUAGCUAGUUGGUGGGGUAACGGCUCACCAAGGCGACGAUACAUAGCCGACCUGAGAGGGUGAUCGGCCACACUGGGACUGAGACACGGCCCUGACUCCUACGGGAGGCAGCAGUAGGGAAUCUUCGGCAAUGGACGAAAGUCUGGCCGAGCAACGCCGCGUGAGUGAAGAAGGUUUUCGGAUCGUAAAGCUCUGUUGUAAGAGAAGAACGAGUGUGAGAGUGGAAAGUUCACACUGUGACGGUAGCUUACCAGAAAGGGACGGCUAACUACGUG
rnacentral:rRNA from 1 species